rnacentral:rRNA from 1 species
GAUGAACGCUAGCGGCAGGCUUAAUACAUGCAAGUCGAGGGGCAUCAAGGUACACGAAAGUGUAUUGUUGGCGACCGGCGGACGGGUGAGUAAUAGGUAGGUAACCUACCUCAUACUGAGGCAUAGCUGGGAGAAAUUCCAGGUAAUUCCUCAUGAGGUUAUAUGACACAUGUGAUAUAAUCAAAGGUAUCGCAAGGUACUGGUAUGAGAUGGGCUUACUGACCAUUAGCUAGUUGGUGAGAUAAGAGCUCACCAAGGCGAAGAUGGUUAGGGGUUUGAGAGAGAGAUCCCCCACAUUGGAACUGAGAUACGGUCCAGACUCCUACGGGAGGCAGCAGUAGGGAAUAUUGGGCAAUGGGCGGAAGCCUGACCCAGCCAUGCCGCGUGAAGGAGACGGCCUUAUGGGUUGUAAACUUCUUUACUAUGCGACUAACUAGAUUUACGAGAUAAUUCUAUAGAAUGUAGCAUAGACAAAAGCACCGG